UUGAACUGAAGAGUUUGAUCAUGGCUCAGAUUGAACGCUGGCGGCAGGCCUAACACAUGCAAGUCGAGCGGAAACGAUGGGAGCUUGCUCCCAGGCGUCGAGCGGCGGACGGGUGAGUAACACGUGGGAAUCUGCCCAUUAGUGGGGGAUAACUCGGGGAAACUCGAGCUAAUA
rnacentral:rRNA from 1 species